GGACGAACGCUGGCGGCGCGCCUAACACAUGCAAGUCGAACGAGCGAGAAAGAGCUUGCUUUCUCGAGCGAUUGGCGAACGGGUGAGUAACGCGUGAGGAACCUGCCUCAAAGAGGGGGACAACAGUUGGAAACGACUGCUAAUACCGCAUAAGCCCACGGCUCGGCAUAGAGCAGAGGGAAAAGGAGCAAUCCGCUUUGAGAUGGCCUCGCGUCCGAUUAGCUAGUUGGUGAGGUAACGGCCCACCAAGGCAACGAUCGGUAGCCGGACUGAGAGGUUGAACGGCCACAUUGGGACUGAGACACGGCCCAGACUCCUACGGGAGGCAGCAGUGGGGAAUAUUGCACAAUGGGGGAAACCCUGAUGCAGCCGACGCCGCGUGGAGGAAGAAGGUCUUCGGAUUGUAAACUCCUGUUGCUUGGGGAACGAUAAUGACGGUACCCGACAAGGAAGUGACGGCUAACUACGUGCCAGCAGCCGCGGUAUCACGUAGGUCACAAGCGUUGUCCGGAAUUACUGGGUGUAAAGGGAGCGCAGGUCGGGAAAGACAAGUUGGAAGUGAAAUCUAUGGGCUCAACCCAUAAACUGCU
rnacentral:rRNA from 1 species